UACGUAGGGUGCGAGCGUUAUCCGGAUUUAUUGGGUUUAAAGGAUGCGUAGGCGGCCUGUUAAGUCAGGGGUGAAAGACGGUAGCUCAACUAUCGCAGUGCCCUUGAUACUGAUGGGCUUGAAUGGACUAGAGGUAGGCGGAAUGAGACAAGUAGCGGUGAAAUGCAUAGAUAUGUCACAGAACACCGAUUGCGAAGGCAGCUUACUAUGGUUUUAUUGACGCUGAGGCACGAAAGCUAGGGGAGCAAACAGG
rnacentral:rRNA from 1 species